rnacentral:rRNA from 1 species
GACGAACGCUGGCGGCGUGCUUAACACAUGCAAGUCGAACGGAAAGGCCCUGCUUUUGUGGGGUGCUCGAGUGGCGAACGGGUGAGUAACACGUGAGUAACCUGCCCUUGACUUUGGGAUAACUUCAGGAAACUGGGGCUAAUACCGGAUAGGAGCUCCUGCUGCAUGGUGGGGGUUGGAAAGUUUCGGCGGUUGGGGAUGGACUCGCGGCUUAUCAGCUUGUUGGUGGGGUAGUGGCUUACCAAGGCUUUGACGGGUAGCCGGCCUGAGAGGGUGACCGGCCACAUUGGGACUGGGAUGCGGCCCAGACGCCUACGGGGGGCAGCGGUGGGGAAUGUUGCACAAUGGGCGGAAGCCUGAUGAAGCAACGCCGCGUGCGGGAUGACGGCAUUCGGGUUGUAAACCGCUUUCGCCUGUGACGAAGCGUGAGUGACGGUAAUGGGUAAAGAAGCACCGGCUACCUACG